GCCAGCAUGGUGACGUAUGCCUGUAAUCCCAGUGAGUAAGGAGGCUGAGGCAGGAGGAUCACAAGUUCCAGGCCAGCCUCAGCAACUUAGUGAGACCCUGCUUCAG
rnacentral:sRNA from 1 species